UACGGAAGGGGCAAGCGUUGUUCGGAAUCAUUGGGCGUAAAGGGCGCGUAGGCGGCCAUUCAAGUCGGAGGUGAAAGCCCAGGGCUCAACCCUGGAAUUGCCUUCGAUACUGUCUGGCUAGAGACCGGAAGAGGUAAGUGGAACUGCGAGUGUAGAGGUGAAAUUCGUAGAUAUUCGCAAGAACACCAGUGGCGAAGGCGGACUUACUGGUCCGGUUCUGGACGCUGAGGCGCGAAAGCGUGGGGGAGCA
rnacentral:rRNA from 1 species